GACGAACGCUGGCGGCGUGCCUAAUACAUGCAAGUAGAACGCAGUUGCGAACGGGUGAGUAACGCGUAGGUAACUGCCUCAUAGCGGGGGAGAACUAUUGGAAACGAUAGCUACUACCGCAUACUGUGAGUUGGACCUGCGUUGUAUUAGCUAGUGGGUGAGGUAAAGGCUCACCAAGGCGACGAUACAUAGCCUACCUGACAGGGUGAUCGUCCCACCUGGUCCUGAGACACGGCCCAGACUCCUACGGGAGGCAGCAGUAGGGAUGCUUCGGCCAUGUACUAAAGUCUGACCGAGCAACGCCGCGUGAGUGAUGAAGUUUUUCGGAUCGUAAAGCUCUGUUGUUAGAGAAGCGGUGACUAACCAGAAAGGGACGGCUAACUACGUGCCAGCAGCCGCGGUAAUAC
rnacentral:rRNA from 1 species